rnacentral:rRNA from 1 species
GAUGUUGGCUUAGAAGCAGCCAUCAUUUAAAGAAAGCGUAAUAGCUCACUGGUCGAGUCGGCCUGCGCGGAAGAUGUAACGGGGCUAAACCAUGCACCGAAGCUGCGGCAGCGACACUGUGUGUUGUUGGGUAGGGGAGCGUUCUGUAAGCCUGUGAAGGUGUGCUGUGAGGCAUGCUGGAGGUAUCAGAAGUGCGAAUGCUGACAUAAGUAACGAUAAAGCGGGUGAAAAGCCCGCUCGCCGGAAGACCAAGGGUUCCUGUCCAACGUUAAUCGGGGCAGGGUGAGUCGACCCCUAAGGCGAGGCCGAAAGGCGUAGUCGAUGGGAAACAGGUUAAUAUUCCUGUACUUGGUGUUACUGCGAAGGGGGGACGGAGAAGGCUAUGUUGGCCGGGCGACGGUUGUCCCGGUUUAAGCGUGUAGGCUGGUUUUCCAGGCAAAUCCGGAAAAUCAAGGCUGAGGCGUGAUGACGAGGCACUACGGUGCUGAAGCAACAAAUGCCCUGCUUCCAGGAAAAGCCUCUAAGCAUCAGGUAACAUCAAAUCGUACCCCAAACCGACACAGGUGGUCAGGUAGAGAAUACCAAGGCGCUUGAGAGAACUCGGGUGAAGGAACUAGGCAAAAUGGUGCCGUAACUUCGGGAGAAGGCACGCUGAUAUGUAGGUGAAGUCCCUCGCGGAUGGAGCUGAAAUCAGUCGAAGAUACCAGCUGGCUGCAACUGUUUAUUAAAAACACAGCACUGUGCAAACACGAAAGUGGACGUAUACGGUGUGACGCCUGCCCGGUGCCGGAAGGUUAAUUGAUGGGGUCAGCGCAAGCGAAGCUCUUGAUCGAAGCCCCGGUAAACGGCGGCCGUAACUAUAACGGUCCUAAGGUAGCGAAAUUCCUUGUCGGGUAAGUUCCGACCUGCACGAAUGGCGUAAUGAUGGCCAGGCUGUCUCCACCCGAGACUCAGUGAAAUUGAACUCGCUGUGAAGAUGCAGUGUACCCGCGGCAAGACGGAAAGACCCCGUGAACCUUUACUAUAGCUUGACACUGAACAUUGAGCCUUGAUGUGUAGGAUAGGUGGGAGGCUUUGAAGUGUGGACGCCAGUCUGCAUGGAGCCGACCUUGAAAUACCACCCUUUAAUGUUUGAUGUUCUAACGUGGACCCGUGAUCCGGGUUGCGGACAGUGUCUGGUGGGUAGUUUGACUGGGGCGGUCUCCUCCUAAAGAGUAACGGAGGAGCACGAAGGUUGGCUAAUCCUGGUCGGACAUCAGGAGGUUAGUGCAAUGGCAUAAGCCAGCUUGACUGCGAGCGUGACGGCGCGAGCAGGUGCGAAAGCAGGUCAUAGUGAUCCGGUGGUUCUGAAUGGAAGGGCCAUCGCUCAACGGAUAAAAGGUACUCCGGGGAUAACAGGCUGAUACCGCCCAAGAGUUCAUAUCGACGGCGGUGUUUGGCACCUCGAUGUCGGCUCAUCACAUCCUGGGGCUGAAGUAGGUCCCAAGGGUAUGGCUGUUCGCCAUUUAAAGUGGUACGCGAGCUGGGUUUAGAACGUCGUGAGACAGUUCGGUCCCUAUCUGCCGUGGGCGCUGGAGAACUGAGGGGGGCUGCUCCUAGUACGAGAGGACCGGAGUGGACGCAUCACUGGUGUUCGGGUUGUCAUGCCAAUGGCACUGCCCGGUAGCUAAAUGCGGAAGAGAUAAGUGCUGAAAGCAUCUAAGCACGAAACUUGCCCCGAGAUGAGUUCUCCCUGACCCUUUAAGGGUCCUGAAGGAACGUUGAAGACGACGACGUUGAUAGGCCGGGUGUGUAAGCGCAGCGAUGCGUUGAGCUAACCGGUACUAAUGAACCGUGAGGCUUAACCUUACAACGCCGAAGGUGUUU